AGCCCAGAGCCUGAAUCAGUGUGUGUGUUAGUGGAAGCGUCUGGAAAGGCGCGCGAUACAGGGUGACAGCCCCGUACACAAAAAUGCACAUACUGUGAGCUCGAUGAGUAGGGCGGGACACGUGGUAUCCUGUCUGAAUAUGGGGGGACCAUCCUCCAAGGCUAAAUACUCCUGACUGACCGAUAGUGAACCAGUACCGUGAGGGAAAGGCGAAAAGAACCCCGGCGAGGGGAGUGAAAAAGAACCUGAAACCGUGUACGUACAAGCAGUGGGAGCCUCUUUAUGGGGUGACUGCGUACCUUUUGUAUAAUGGGUCAGCGACUUAUAUUCUGUAGCAAGGUUAACCGAAUAGGGGAGCCGAAGGGAAACCGAGUCUUAACUGGGCGUUAAGUUGCAGGGUAUAGACCCGAAACCCGGUGAUCUAGCCAUGGGCAGGUUGAAGGUUGGGUAACACUAACUGGAGGACCGAACCGACUAAUGUUGAAAAAUUAGCGGAUGACUUGUGGCUGGGGGUGAAAGGCCAAUCAAACCGGGAGAUAGCUGGUUCUCCCCGAAAGCUAUUUAGGUAGCGCCUCGUGAAUUCAUCUCCGGGGGUAGAGCACUGUUUCGGCAAGGGGGUCAUCCCGACUUACCAACCCGAUGCAAACUGCGAAUACCGGAGAAUGUUAUCACGGGAGACACACGGCGGGUGCUAACGUCCGUCGUGAAGAGGGAAACAACCCAGACCGCCAGCUAAGGUCCCAAAGUCAUGGUUAAGUGGGAAACGAUGUGGGAAGGCCCAGACAGCCAGGAUGUUGGCUUAGAAGCAGCCAUCAUUUAAAGAAAGCGUAAUAGCUCACUGGUCGAGUCGGCCUGCGCGGAAGAUGUAACGGGGCUAAACCAUGCACCGAAGCUGCGGCAGCGACGCUUAUGCGUUGUUGGGUAGGGGAGCGUUCUGUAAGCCUGCGAAGGUGGCCUGUGAGGGUUGCUGGAGGUAUCAGAAGUGCGAAUGCUGACAUAAGUAACGAUAAAGCGGGUGAAAAGCCCGCUCGCCGGAAGACCAAGGGUUCCUGUCCAACGUUAAUCGGGGCAGGGUGAGUCGACCCCUAAGGCGAGGCCGAAAGGCGUAGUCGAUGGGAAACAGGUUAAUAUUCCUGUACUUGGUGUUACUGCGAAGGGGGGACGGAGAAGGCUAUGUUGGCCGGGCGACGGUUGUCCCGGUUUAAGCGUGUAGGCUGAUUUUCCAGGCAAAUCCGGAAAAUCAAGGCUGAGGCGUGAUGACGAGGCACUACGGUGCUGAAGCAACAAAUGCCCUGCUUCCAGGAAAAGCCUCUAAGCAUCAGGUAACAUCAAAUCGUACCCCAAACCGACACAGGUGGUCAGGUAGAGAAUACCAAGGCGCUUGAGAGAACUCGGGUGAAGGAACUAGGCAAAAUGGUGCCGUAACUUCGGGAGAAGGCACGCUGAUAUGUAGGUGAAGUCCCUCGCGGAUGGAGCUGAAAUCAGUCGAAGAUACCAGCUGGCUGCAACUGUUUAUUAAAAACACAGCACUGUGCAAACACGAAAGUGGACGUAUACGGUGUGACGCCUGCCCGGUGCCGGAAGGUUAAUUGAUGGGGUUAGCGGUAACGCGAAGCUCUUGAUCGAAGCCCCGGUAAACGGCGGCCGUAACUAUAACGGUCCUAAGGUAGCGAAAUUCCUUGUCGGGUAAGUUCCGACCUGCACGAAUGGCGUAAUGAUGGCCAGGCUGUCUCCACCCGAGACUCAGUGAAAUUGAACUCGCUGUGAAGAUGCAGUGUACCCGCGGCAAGACGGAAAGACCCCGUGAACCUUUACUAUAGCUUGACACUGAACAUUGAGCCUUGAUGUGUAGGAUAGGUGGGAGGCUUUGAAGUGUGGACGCCAGUCUGCAUGGAGCCGACCUUGAAAUACCACCCUUUAAUGUUUGAUGUUCUAACGUUGGCCCCUGAUCGGGGUUGCGGACAGUGUCUGGUGGGUAGUUUGACUGGGGCGGUCUCCUCCUAAAGAGUAACGGAGGAGCACGAAGGUUGGCUAAUCCUGGUCGGACAUCAGGAGGUUAGUGCAAUGGCAUAAGCCAGCUUGACUGCGAGCGUGACGGCGCGAGCAGGUGCGAAAGCAGGUCAUAGUGAUCCGGUGGUUCUGAAUGGAAGGGCCAUCGCUCAACGGAUAAAAGGUACUCCGGGGAUAACAGGCUGAUACCGCCCAAGAGUUCAUAUCGACGGCGGUGUUUGGCACCUCGAUGUCGGCUCAUCACAUCCUGGGGCUGAAGUAGGUCCCAAGGGUAUGGCUGUUCGCCAUUUAAAGUGGUACGCGAGCUGGGUUUAGAACGUCGUGAGACAGUUCGGUCCCUAUCUGCCGUGGGCGCUGGAGAACUGAGGGGGGCUGCUCCUAGUACGAGAGGACCGGAGUGGACGCAUCACUGGUGUUCGGGUUGUCAUGCCAAUGGCACUGCCCGGUAGCUAAAUGCGGAAGAGAUAAGUGCUGAAAGCAUCUAAGCACGAAACUUGCCCCGAGAUGAGUUCUCCCUGACCCUUUAAGGGUCCUGAAGGAACGUUGAAGACGACGACGUUGAUAGGCCGGGUGUGUAAGCGCAGCGAUGCGUUGAGCUAACCGGUACUAAUGAACCGUGAGGCUUAACCUUACAACGCCGAAG
rnacentral:rRNA from 1 species